CUAUGGGCUGCAGCAGUGAGGAAUAUUGCACAAUGGGGGGAACCCUGAUGCAGCAACGCCGCGUGGAGGAUGACGCAUUUCGGUGUGUAAACUCCUUUUAUAUGUCAAGAAAAUGACGGUAGCAUAUGAAUAAGCACCGGCUAACUCCGUGCCAGCAGCCGCGGUAAUACGGAGGGUGCAAGCGUUACUCGGAAUCACUGGGCGUAAAGGACGCGUAGGCGGGUUGGAAAGUCAGGUGUGAAAUCCUACAGCUUAACUGUAGGACUGCACUUGAAACUUCUAAUCUAGAGUAUGGGAGGGGGAGAUGGAAUUAGUGGUGUAGGGGUAAAAUCCGUAGAUAUCACUAGGAAUACCUAAAGCGAAGGCGAUCUCCUGGAACAUUACUGACGCUAAGGCGUGAAAGCGUGGGGAGCAAACAGGAUUAGAUACCCGCGUAGUC
rnacentral:rRNA from 1 species